rnacentral:rRNA from 1 species
GCUCAGGAUGAACGCUGGCGGCGUGCCUAAUACAUGCAAGUCGAGCGAACAGAUAAGGAGCUUGCUCCUUUGACGUUAGCGGCGGACGGGUGAGUAACACGUGGGUAACCUACCUAUAAGACUGGAAUAACUCCGGGAAACCGGGGCUAAUGCUGGAUAAUAUUUAGAACCGCAUGGUUCUAAAGUGAAAGAUGGUUUUGCUAUCACUUAUAGAUGGACCCGCGCCGUAUUAGCUAGUUGGUGGGGUAAUGGCUUACCAAGGCAACGAUACGUAGCCGACCUGAGAGGGUGAUCGGCCACACUGGAACUGAGACACGGUCCAGACUCCUACGGGAGGCAGCAGUAGGGAAUCUUCCGCAAUGGGCGAAAGCCUGACGGAGCAACGCCGCGUGAGUGAUGAAGGUCUUCGGAUCGUAAAACUCUGUUAUUAGGGAAGAACAAAUGUGUAAGUAACUGUGCACGUCUUGACGGUACCUAAUCAGAAAGCCACGGCUAACUACGUGCCAGCAGCCGCGGUAAUACGUAGGUGGCAAGCGUUAUCCGGAAUUAUUGGGCGUAAAGCGCGCGUAGGCGGUUUCUUAAGUCUGAUGUGAAAGCCCACGGCUCAACCGUGGAGGGUCAUUGGAAACUGGGAAACUUGAGUGCAGAAGAGGAAAGUGGAAUUCCAUGUGUAGCGGUGAAAUGCGCAGAGAUAUGGAGGAACACCAGUGGCGAAGGCGACUUUCUGGUCUGUAACUGACGCUGAU